CCCUUAGAUGUUCUGGGCCGCACGCGCGCUACACUGACGAAGUCAGCGAGCAUGUCCUACGCCGACAGGUGCGGGGAAUCUUGUCAAACUUCGUCGUGAUGGGGAUUGAUUAUUGAAAUUCUAGAUCAUCAACGAGGAAUUCCUAGUAAGCGCAAGUCAGCAGCUUGCGUUGAUUACGUCCCUGCCCUUUGUACACACCGCCCGUCGCUACUACCGAUUGAAUGUUCCGGUGAGCUCUUCGGACUGCGCGGUCUGCAGUUUCUGCGUUCCGUGCGGAAAGUUGUGCAAACCUUAACAUUUAGAGGAAGGAGAAGUCGUAACA
rnacentral:rRNA from 1 species